CCUACGGGGUGCAGCAGUAGGGAAUCUUCCACAAUGGGCGAAAGCCUGAUGGAGCAACGCCGCGUGGGUGAAGAAGGUCUUCGGAUCGUAAAACCCUGUUGUUAGAGAAGAAAGUGCGUGAGAGUAACUGUUCACGUUUCGACGGUAUCUAACCAGAAAGCAACGGCUAACUACGUGCCAGCAGCCGCGGUAAUACGUAGGUGGCAAGCGUUAUCCGGAUUUAUUGGGCGUAAAGGGAACGCAGGCGGUCUUUUAAGUCUGAUGUGAAAGCCUUCGGCUUAACCGGAGUAGUGCAUUGGAAACUGGGAGACGUGAGUGCAGAAGAGGAGAGUGGAACUCCAUGUGGAGCGGUGAAAUGCGUAGAGAUAUGGAAGAACACCAGUGGCGAAAGCGGCUCUCUGGUCUGUAACUGACGCUGAGGUGCGAAAGCGUGGGGAGCAAACAGGAUUAGAUACCCCGGUAGUC
rnacentral:rRNA from 1 species